CCGGGCUGCACGACCCCCUGUCGCCCUCCGCUUGGUCGCUCGUAUUCCUGAGGUAGAGCCGUUCAGCGAGAGCUAGGCUGAGCGCGGCCGCACAGCCCCUCCCUUCAGCCCUGUUGACUAACGUUCUUUGUCUGGUGACCUUUCUGCAGCGAAGUCAUGUGUAUAAUUGAGGAUUAAAUGGUAAAUGCAGUCUUUUUGCAGAACGGCUUUGCAUGGCCGUUCCCCACUCCCACAGAAGGAGUUUGUUUUCCAUCGAGUCCCUCUCAGACAUCUCCACAAACACCUUUGAUCCCAUUACGCACGAUGGCAUUCAGAGGUGCCCACUUUGCUCAUCGCUCAUCAGGUCUUGGGCUGAUGCUUACACUGGUGAGAAACGUGCAAACGGGAAAACAGCGUGGUGCUCCGCUGCAUCCAGUGCUUCCCAGUGCUCGUUCCUUGCACCCAUUUUGCUUGCUCAGUGCAUGACCCAUCUCUGUAGCACACAGGAGAUGAGAUGAGGUGAUAAGAUGGCUCUUCUUCAGUGGUAAAAUGGAGCAAACAAAAAAAAUCCUAACGCCACCCACCGUUACGAUAUGAAUGCGUGUUUCCGGAGAGAACGUUCUGGAACAACACAUUUUGCAGCAAUUGCUUUUACCUUUUUCUGACCCUUCCGUGGCCUGAAACGCUUUUUACCUCAGUGGAAAUGACUUCAGUCACCCAAAGCUGUGGAGGUGAUGGGUGCUUUUCGGAGGACACGUUCCCCAGGCUGUCUGAAAAGCAGAGGGAAGCAGAGCUGUGGCAGCUGCUGCUCCUGCUUUGCAGGAGAAAAUCAAUCAUGGUGAUUUUGAAAGAUUUAUGGAUAGGAUUUUCUUCUAAACCCCACUUUUCCAUCAUAAUGAAUCAGUACAAAUUUUCCUGUCUAAAUUACUGAUGCCUGUUUCCCUACGUGGGUCAACAGAAAGAGCUUCGUUAUGGAGGUAAGCGACUUCCUUGCCAUUAUGUGCCUCUCUUCCCUUGAGCUGAUCAUUUACCUGCUCUUAGAAUCACAGCACAGUUUUCUGAUAUCUGCUGCUUCAAUUUAGGCAUUUUUUGAGAGCGUACUCUUUUUUUUUUUUCAUGGCUUUCGUUACUCAUGAGAGUGCUGUUCUGAGGGGAGCGGGCUCUCCAGCACUGCGCAUUGCUGGCUGUGGAAUUAGGAAAGCUCAGUCAUGUGCUUCCAGGAUUUGGAGGUUUCACCAUGGUCUAUUUUUGCUACGCAUUCAAGCUCUAAUUCCUUUCUACAGGCAGCCCCUCUCCUGCACAGCUGAAGCAAAUCAAACCUUUGAUUUUAGUGGAGACGGAAGCCUGCUUAUUUGGCCACGAAGUUAGAUGGAGGGGGUUGCUGUGCUCAUGCUCUUUCUGCAAAGUGUUCCCCCAGAGAGAUCAAAUGCCCCAAAGUCUCACAGCAGGAGUAACCAUGUGCUGCAUAUCUGCGUGUUUGAUCCAGCCAGGCAGACUGUGCUUUGGCCUCAGAUGGCUGGCUGCCUGGCCUGGGCUUUUUCAGUCUGUAGGAGCGUUCUGCAAAGCAGAGAAAAGAAGCAGAGGAUGAAAAGAGAGCUGGCUACCUGGGCUGCUGCUGCGAUGGGACUGUGCUGGAGCUUUUCAGAAGGGUUGGCAGUGGAAGUGAGAGCAUCUCUUGCCAGAGAUCCUUGCCUACCUGAGGCCUUCCAAAGGUAAGCAACUCUUUUCCUUCAUUUCUGUAUUUGUGGCUGCUGCGUUUGGGCUUGUUCUCAUUUGCUGUAGCUGACGACUUUGCCACUCUGCUAUUAUCAUUCCAUUAUAGCAUUAUACAGAGAAAAAGGGAAGGGUUUGAUUUCUGAUCCUCAGCACACUGAAGUAUGCGAAGAGUGAGAUUUUCUAUUGUGAAUACUUCAGAUCACUCAACUGCAGUCACUGGUGAUAACCAGAAAAUGUGCUGGGCUUUGAAGGAGUGGUUUGUGGUGGCCAAUGCAAACCAGCACUUCAUGCUCUGCCUUGCACAGAGUGCAAUGUUCCUUUAUUGGCUCUAGGCUGUGAAGUUGUGAACAGUGGACGUGUUUAGAUGGUUCGUAACUAGACUUCAAUGCUAGUAUGUCUAAACUAAAUGUGGGGAGCUUCUAGGCUUUCAGUUGUGCUCUUUGGCUGUAUUUCAGUCACUAAGAGAGAGGUUAGUGGCAGACAGACCAUGAAGGCAUUCAAGCUGGUAGUCAGUGGGAGGCAGGUGUGUGUGUGGAGACAGCUGAAGCUGCUGUCUUCUCUUGAGAUAACAGCUGUGGAAUAUUUUUAGUGUAAGCAGUGCAAUAAAGUUGUUCCUGAUGGGUAGUGUGAGUUGUCUUUUUUUUUUUUAGCCUUGCUCAUGUUCUAGCCUGACAAAGGCAUAGACAGGCUACCCACAGUGUCAAAAAGGGUAGGAGCUCCUUGGUCGGCACUUUGCUUGUUGUCAGAAUGAGUGCCUAAUGAAAGAAGCACAUGGUACUGUUAGCUGGAGAAGUUUGAAUCUGUUCAUUUUGGUGCCUGAGGGUUUCUGUUUUCCCACUGGUUCAACUAUAGGAAUUUGUGCCUCUCAUCCUUGAGCCCCAAAACUUACUUGUCUCAAUUAAUCUGUUCUCUCUAGUGGAACUGUAGUUCUGAUGGUCUUGAGUCUUGCUCACUGAGUGGUUUGAUCAGGCAGGGCAUCAAAGGAAUCUCUCAAACUGAAAAUGCAACUUUCCAGACUUAUUUUUUUCCAACUUAGGUAAGAAGGGACUUCUAGUACUUGGAAUGCACCUCCGUGUUAACUGCUUUUUUUCAAUUGUCCUUGUUAAGGCAAUUAGGAUGUAUUUAAAUGCCAGUGCUUUUGGUAUCACAGAAGUGAAUGUCUCAUGCUGGUUGACUACCUAGACAGAUCACAGUAGAAAACCUUAUCUCAAAGCCUAGGAUAAGUCUUGGUACUGCUAUCCUUUUCAGAAGCAAAACAGCUACCAGCGGAGCACGGCUGGUACUAGCUGGUAAUAAGUCUUAUCGGAUGUUUUUGUGUAGUUCUUUGAUAUGUUUCGUAAUAUGUUCUUUAGAAUAUCUUAAGGUUGUGAAACUCAGAAGGCUGCACAUAGUCUAAAAAGGAUGGGAAACUGUGGGUGCUCUGCAAAUACAGCCAGCAUGCAGGGUGGACUAACACAAAAAGUUGAAGUUUUUGAGGGAAUACUGUGGGUAAUAAUAACUUGCCUUCUCCUGCAUCAAGGAGUUCUGGUACCUCUCACGAUGACUUUUGCUUCACCUUCUGUGUUUUUUAUAUUAAAUAUUUCUAUAUAUGUAUUUGGGUGGUGCUUGCUAUUCUUCCUGUUGACACGGGCACUUAAUCAAAACCUCCUGCUAGUACUUACGCUAGGGGUAUGCGUUUCACCUCUCACCCCUUCUCAAGUCUAUUUGCUAUGACUUUUCCACUUUUGGCUGCCUUGAGGCUUGGCUUCACCCAUGGCAUGACAUUGUUUUGGUGUGCUGCUCUGGUCCUGUUUUGGGGAUGGGGCUGUGUGAUGGCUGCACUGCAGCCUCUGUGGUUUUAGUGAGUCUCCAGGGUUUCUUAAAGUUUUGUUGUUGAUUUUGGUCUUUUGUUUCAUUAGCAAGGCAAUGGAAAUAGUGUUGCUUCUGUGGCAACUUUCAGCUGACCUUGAGUUGUAAGUACUUAGAAAUUUAUGUUCUACAUAAAUAAAAUGGAAAUUAUUAUUCUUAUGAUUAUACUGUUUUCUUAUACAGAACUUGCAGGCAAUAACCAUAAUCUCAGGA